GACGAACGCUGGCGGCGUGCUUAACACAUGCAAGUCGAACGGAAAGGCCCUGCUUUUGUGGGGUGCUCGAGUGGCGAACGGGUGAGUAACACGUGAGUAACCUGCCCUUGACUUUGGGAUAACUUCAGGAAACUGGGGCUAAUACCGGAUAGGAGCUCCUGCUGCAUGGUGGGGGUUGGAAAGUUUCGGCGGUUGGGGAUGGACUCGCGGCUUAUCAGCUUGUUGGUGGGGUAGUGGCUUACCAAGGCUUUGACGGGUAGCCGGCCUGCGAGGGUGACCGGCCACAUUGGAACUGAGAUACGGCCCAGACUCCUACGGGAGGCAGCAGUGGGGAAUAUUGCACAAUGGGCGGAAGCCUGAUGCAGCAACGCCGCGUGCGGGAUGACGGCCUUCGGGUUGUAAACCGCUUUCGCCUGUGACGAAGCGUGAGUGACGGUAAUGGGUAAAGAAGCACCGGCUAACUACGUG
rnacentral:rRNA from 1 species